UUUUUCCUAAAAAAUCGACGCUUUAUUACAACAUUUUAACUAUUCCAAAAAAAAAAACUUUGUACACUAAAGAAAUUUAAAUAAAACUAACAUCCAAGCUGUAAGGUCUCAAGUUCACGUCAGAGUCAGCCAUUUGUACCAAAUAAAUAAAUAAAUAGAACCCGAAUAAAACAAAUUCAUAUAACCAGGUUCAUGAACAAGUGCUUGCUUAAACAUUUAAAAUCCUAAGGCCUAACCCCAAAUUUUACUGAAAUCCAACAGCGACCGGUGCCCUUAAAUAGAUGUAGAAUCUAAAGGUCCACACAUAGGUAGGAAAUAACAGAACCUGCUCUUCGUUUGGUCCUCUCGCUAACCUUCCAUUUCUCAACCAGGACCUUCUUUAUGUUUGCACAACUAGACACCACAGUGGCAACUCCAGCUGCAGUUAUACCUGGACAAUAAACCACAUGGCAGGACUCGAGCAUUGUGCAAUUUUUAACAAGGUGUGCUAGACCGACAUCAGUUAUUUGUCGGCAGUGAGACAGCACAAUCUCCUUCAGCAAUGGACAGCCUUCUCCUAAUUCGGCCAUUGCCAUGUCUCCCAAAUUCUGAAGUACGCUUACAUCUAGAUAGCUGAGUACAGGGCACCCUCUUGCAAUAGCUAUUAUUCCUGCAUCACCAAUUAGGUGGCAACCACUAACAUUCAAAUGUUGUAAGGAGCAACCUUGACCGAUGGAAAUAAGGGCCUCAUCCCCCACCCUAUCACAAAACCUAAGGCUAAGAUCCGUGAGAGACUUGCAAUUCUCACCAAUGGCUAUUAUUCCUUUGUUUCCAAUCUCGUAACAUCGGCGAAUAUGAAGUUUCUUCAAAUUCCUACAGCCUCUAGCAAUACUGCAAAUGGCAUCAUCACCAAUACUAGAGCAGUCCACAAGAUGAAGAGCCUGCAAAAACUUACAGCCCUUUCCAAUUUCGAGAAGAGCAUGAUUGCCAAUCCUUUGGCAGUAUAGCAAAGCCAACUCAGUGAGGCGUAGGCAAGAUCUUCCAAUGGCUUCCAGACCAAUCGUUCCAAUAUUGUGGCAACCAUUAACUUCAAGAUGUGUCAGUUCUCUACAACCAGUGGCAAUUGCUUCUAAGCCCUUGUCACUCAGGAAAUAGCAAUCACUUAGAGAAAGAUUUUUCAACUUCUUGCACCCAUUCCCAAUGGCACGCAAACCCCUGAAAAGAAAAACCACCUCAAACAUCAUGAAUCAUCACAAUUAUAUAAAAGGCUUAAAACAACCUAAAUUAAAUUCCCUAAAAAGUAAAGGCAAAAAGGAAAUCAGAAAAUAACAGAAAAGCAUUGUAUGAACAAGUUUAAUCUCAAAAGUUUCUCAUAACUUUGAAUGGUCAACAGAGGAUAAUAGAUAAAUAAGAGGUUGAUCUGAAACCUAGCUUCCAUGAAAGAAAGGCUAUUAUGCAGCAAAACAGAUGGGUCAUGCCACACUUUGGUGGUUCAGUUCAACCAAAGCCAGAUCACUCUUAAUUUUAAAAAGAGAGAAGAUGCACUGACUUGUCAGUAAAUCGCUGGAAACUGUUUAAAGCCAACAACUCCAAUGACAAACAAUGAGUUCCCACAGCUAUCAAAGCGUCAUCAGUAACAUUAAUACAUUGUAGUCUCAAGACUUUUAAAGAAGGGCAUCCUUGGGCCACAGAAAGAAUACCACCAUUAUGCAUGCAUUCUGAAUCCAGUGACAAAGUUUCAAGUGAUUUGCAAUAGGAGCUCACUGCUUCCAAUGAUAUGUGAGUUAUUUUUGCACAAGCUGCAACACCAAGAGACUUUAGUGAUUUCCCGCAGCCUUGAGCUAAUUCAACCAAGCCUGUGUCAGUCACACCUUCGCAAAAACGCAAGUUCAAAUCUUCAAGCUGCUUACAACACUUCCCAACAGCAGCCAAACCCCGAUCUCCAACAUAGCAACCCUUUGGAAAAUGGGGAAGGAGGGAGGGAAGGAAAGAAAAAGAUAAAAACAAAAAGUAAGAAACUAAAGCUUUAGUGAUGCUUACACUGUAUAAAUGUAAAAUUCACUAGCAGAACAAUUUAUGCAUUAACACAUGGAAGCACCAAAAGACAAUAAGAAAAAUAGAGCAACUUCACUUGUACGUGCCACACUGAACAGAUCCUAGAAAGGACUUGAAAUUUGAAACUAGAGAUAAAUUACCAUAAACAUUUCGCUACACUUUCAACACACUUAUUGAUAUUCAGAAAACUUACCUGUAAAUCCAGAGACAUUAAGAAACUGCAUUUGUAGGCAAGAGACAUUAAACCUAAACUUGAAACAGUGGAGCACCAGAUUAAGCUCAACUUUUCAAGCCUUGGAAAGCCAUCGCCAAGAGCACUUAGCCCAGCAUCAGACAAACUGUUUGAUUCAAAGUGGCCAUCUUCAGAUACACCUUUCUCGGAGUGUAGCUUAAGAGUUGGUACAGAAUGAUCACUGCCCCUUCUUCUUCCGAAUUGGACCGGAAUUGAAAUGGAGAGUCUCUCAUCAAUGUGAAUGGCUUUAACAUUGUGAAAGCGGCGGGCAAGGAGCUUGACAGAGAGGUCAGGAUUGCCGGUGGCGCCGAUGCGGAGGGUGGUGCGGCUGAGACGCUCGAGGUCCAGCCACCGAUGGCAGACUAGAGAGCACGCAUCACGGGUGGACUUGGAAUCGAGGUGCCUGAAGAUCUCAACAAUCAGCUCAUCAGGGAGACAGGUGUUAAUCCAAUCAUGGCCUCGCAUGUUAAGGGAGAGGUGAAAAAGGAAUUCCGAAAUUGGAACGCAAAACAGGUGAAUUCGAGAGAGUGGAAUUGAAAUUCUGGUUUGCGACAGAUUUAUUGAGAGAAGGAAAUUCGAGGGAAAUCAGUGGAGUCGGCGACGGGGAAUUAUUGGGGUUUUGUUUUGCCCUCCCUGGUCUUUUUCACGUUGGUAUCCCUGCUGAAUAACACGCGAU
rnacentral:misc_RNA from 1 species